rnacentral:rRNA from 1 species
CCAUGCAUGUCUAAGUAUAAGCACUCAUACUGUGAAACUGCGAAUGGCUCAUUCCAUCAGUUAUCGUUUAUUUGAUAGUACCUUUACCUGGAUAACCGUGGUAAUUCUAGAGCUAAUACAUGCUAAAAAUCCCGACUUCGGAAGGGAUGUAUUUAUUAGAUAAAAAACCAAUGCCCUUCGGGGCUCCUUGGUGAUUCAUAAUAACUUAACGAAUCGCAUGGCCUUGCGCUGGCGAUGGUUCAUUCAAAUUUCUGCCCUAUCAACUUUCGAUGGUAGGAUAGUGGCCUACCAUGGUCUCAACGGGUAACGGGGAAUUAGGGUUCUAUUCCGGAGAGGGAGCCUGAGAAACGGCUACCACAUCCAAGGAAGGCAGCAGGCGCGCAAAUUACCCAAUCCCAAUUCGGGGAGGUAGUGACAAUAAAUACUGAUACAGGGCUCUUUUGGGUCUUGUAAUUGGAAUGAGUACAAUCUAAAUCCCUUAACGAGGAACAAUUGGAGGGCAAGUCUGGUGCCAGCAGCCGCGGUAAUUCCAGCUCCAAUAGCGUAUAUUAAAGUUGUUGCCGUUAAAAAGCUCGUAGUUGAACCUUGGGUCUGGCUGAUCUGUCCUCCUAAUCGAGCGCACGGAUUCGGUCGGACCUUUCCUUCUGGGGAGCUGCAUGCCCUUCACUGGGCGUGUCGGGGAACCAGAACUUUUACCUUGAAAAAAUUAGAGUGUUCACAGCAGGCCUUUGCUCGAAUACAUUAGCCUGGAAUAAUAGAAUAGGACAGAGGUUCUAUUUUGUUGGUUUCUAGGCCCGCUGUAAUGAUUAAUAGGGAUAGUCGGGGGCGUCCGUAUUCAAUUGUCAGAGGUGAAAUUCUUGGCUUUAUUGAAGACGAACUACUGCGAACGCAUUCGCCAAGGAUGUUUUCAUUCCUCAGUGAACGAAAGUUAGGGGAUCGAAGACGAUCAGAUACCGUCGUAGUCUUAACCAUAAACUAUGCCGACUAGGGAUCGGACGGU